GAUGAACGCUGGCGGCGUGCCUAAUACAUGCAAGUCGAGCGAACAGACGAUGAUCUUGCUCCUCUGACGUUAGCGGCGGACGGGGGAGUAACACGUGGAUAACCUACCUAUAAGACUGGGAUAACUUCGGGAAACCGGAGCUAAUACCGGAUAAUAUAUUGAACCGCAUGGUGCAAUAGUGAAAGACGUUUUUUCUGUCACUUAGAGAUGGAUCCCCGCCUCAUUAGCUAGUUGGUAAGGUAACGGCCUACCAAAGCAACGAUGGGUAGCCGAACUGAGAGGGUGAUCGGCCAAACUGGAACUGAGACACGGUCCAGACUCCUACGGGAGGCAGCAGUACGGAAUCUUACGCAAUGGGCGGAAGCCUGACGGAGCAAAGCCGAGUGAGUGAUGACGGUCUUCGGAUCGUAAAACUCUGUUAUUAGGGAAGAACAAAUGUGUAAGUAACUAUGCACGUCUUGACGGUACCUAAUCAGAAAGCCACGGCUAACUACGUG
rnacentral:rRNA from 1 species